rnacentral:lncRNA from 1 species
AUAAAUGCCACCCUGGUGUAUAUAUAUAUAACAGCAAGUGUUGCCUAAUCCAGCUCGUGUCACUAUAAAUCACCUCACCAGGCUUUGGCAUCAUCCCUUUUCUUAGCUUCAGUGGGUCAUUUCUACCUCCAGGAGCUUUGUAUGACCAUGGCAGGUAUGGCAGAUCAAUCUGAAAACACCAUUUGUGGGACCACAUGCCAUGGGCUCUUACUGAUUAGAAGUGUUCAGCUAUCUUUGUUCUAUAAAACUGAAACCAUCAGAUCAUCAAUAUAGCAGGUUGCUGUCCUAUAUG